GGAGGGGUGGCCGAGCGGUUUAAGGCACUGGUCUUGAAAACCAGCAGGGGGAGACCCCUCGUGGGUUCGAAUCCCACUCCCUCCGCCA
rnacentral:tRNA from 1 species